ACUAAACUUUAACUUGUCUUCUUUUAAGAAAGUUUCUCUUCUGUUACUCGAGUAGAAUUUCAUCUACACAUUGAGAAGUAAAUUACUUUUAGGAAUGAGUUACACAUAUUAUAGAGUAGCCAAGAUAUUUUGUUGAUAACUUUGUAAUGGAUGCACAUAUGUUGAUCUUAUCAUAGUUGAUAUAAAUCCUUGCUCUCAUAGCUUUGGUUGAACGACAAAAGGUAGUAAAACUGGGGAUGUGUGGUAGACACAUAUCACUAUUGAAUAAAUGAUUUAAAUGGAAGAACUGGAAAGUAACUGCAACUUUCUUUUAGUAUUUUAUUGCACUUCGACUUAGUCUAGGAUAGUUGUUAUGUGGUCAUUAAGUUUUUUAUUUUUAGUUGAAUGCACUAUUGAGUUAGCGCGCCCUUUUAAUUUUGUCUUUAAGUUAAGUCGUAAGCCUUUUUAAAAGGCAUCAUUGCUGAUAAAUAGAAUCAGAUAAGCAGCUGCAAUUCCAAUAGCCUACACUUCCAGCAAUCAUACAUUGUUAUAUAUCCUCUUCAACUUUCCUGCUAGUUAAUUCCUUCCUUUCAAAUAUUUUGUUCUUGAGUGAGCUUAAGAUCUCUAUUCUCCAACAUUUGUGGUAUCAGAUCAAGGCUUAGCUUCAGACGACCUAAUAACAGAAAAACACCAUGGCUUCCAAUGGAAGUUUUCUGAACAUACCUCAGUCGGCCAUCCCCAUUUUAUGGGACAAAGCUAUCAGUUCUGGAGCAUCAAGAUGAAGACUUUAUUUAAGCCUCAAGAUCCUUCAACAGGCAAUACAUGGGACAAUAUUUCCUGAAUUGCAGCAGCCACCACUUAAAGGCAAGCUUGGAGAAUUUUUCAAACAGAAUUUCAAAUAGCGUUGUAAAACUUCAAAAUCUUCGGCAUGAGUUCAAAACUUUAAAUCAUGAAAGGUGAUGAACAUGUGCAAGAAUUUUUGUCUAGAGCAAUGGCUAUUAUUAGUCUAAUCAGUUCACAUGGAGACAAAAUAACUGAUCAAACUGUUGUUGAAAUUUUUAAGGAGUUUAACUUCUAAGUUUGAUCAUGUGGUGGCUGCAAUUUAGGAGUCCGAAGCCCAUGAGACAAGAAUAAACAUGUAUUAGAAAAGCAGGAAGAAAAACAUUUUAAUCUACGGCGGAGGCACUCGAUUCAAGAGAUCAUGACAAGGUAACAAAGAAAGAGGACGAGGUAGAGGUGCAUUUCAUGGAAAUAGUCGAGGGUUAGGGCGAGUAAUGGUUAAUUUUCUCAUGGCUGAAAACAAAAUGUUUCCGCUAAAAGUUCAAAUGUGGAAAUUUUUGCUCUGGUAACUGGUGCAAAAAAUGUGUAUGAAUUUGUGGCAUAUGAGGUAUGAGCAUCUUAAUUCAAGGGUAGAAAGUUGCUUAUACCAAAAGGUAUGGUAUUUGGAUACCAAAAAUUAAUUCUUUUGAUUUAUGCGAAGGUUGCAUUAAUGGGAAGCAAAGUAGAAAGUCGUUUCCUAUUGGAAAGGCAUGGAGAGUAACUACUUGCCUAAAAUUAAUUCAUGCAUGUUUGUGUGGUUCAAUGAAUAAUGAUUGUUUUGGUGGAAGUUGAUUUUUUCCCAUCAUCACACGAUUUCAGUCGCAUGAGUUGGGUGUAUUUCCUAAAAUAUAAAGUAGAAGCCUUUGAAAAUUUUAGAAAAUACAAGAUACUUGUGAAGAAUCAAAGUGGGUUACACAUAAAAACUCUCCGCAGACGCCAAAAACAAAUAAGAAAAAUAACCAAACUAUUUGUUAUCAAUGACUAUGUCUUGAGCUUUGAAUUCAUCGUAAUCUCCACCAUCUCUAGCUUCAGAUACAUCGCCAUCUCCGGCUUCUAAUACAUCGUCGUCUCUAGCUUAGAAUUCAUCGUCAUUUUUAUUUUGUUUCCAACUUCGGGUACAUCAUCAUUUCCAGCUUUGGAUACAUCGCCAUUUCCAACAGCUUCAGAUAUAUCAAAGUGUCUAUGCACUCUUACUCCCAUCAACAUAUCAUCGGGGAUGUCUAUUGAUUCUUGUUAUCGGUAUUGUUAGCUGGUGUAUAUUUUCAGGUGUAAUGAUAACACAAAAAAUAAAAAUCACUCUAUCUUCCCCAAUAUCACUGCUACUAUCAUCAUUUGUUUCAUUUUCACCACUUUCUUGUCACAUUGUUCGUUCAUUGACAUAUUAUACCUGCAAAUCGGACACGGUCCAUUGAUCCUCAACCACAUGUCAAUACAAAUCGAAUGAAAAUGAUGUUUACAAAGCAUCUCUUUUGCUUUCUCGCCAAUUUUUAUAUUCGAUAAACAAAUAUUGCGAUCAAUUCCUUCAGCUAAAACCUUAACCAUUAGUAUAGCUUCAAUAGAAGCGAUGUAUACAAGUACUAGCCCUCCUAUCAUAACAGCAUCUGCAUUAAUAGGACGAUUAUCGAGGAAAGAGAUUGAGUUGUUUGUUGUAUCCAUUAUUGCCACUAUAUUAUGUUCAUCUUCAUGGUGGAAUAGACUGGGCGAAUCGAAGUAUAUGAUUAUAAAUCAUUGAUCCGACUUCAGUUUGGCUUAGGCAUCUGAGAGAUGGAAUUAACAUCGAUGCUACUUCCAUAUUUGAACCUAUAGUUUAUUGAAUGUUGACGAGGAAGACAAAGAAUAUUUUUUAUUGAAGGAUGGUGCUUGAUUUAUAGCGUUUAUUGUUAACUUUGUGAGGAAGUUUCUAGAGCUUGGUACUGGCCCACAUUGAGGCUCGAUUUGGUCGUUUUUGCACAGCAUGUUCAUUUAAGGGGGGGGAGGGAAGGAGGGGGGAGGGUUUGCUAAAUAUUAAUUUGACCGCAUAUUAUUUACUGUGAUGUGACCCCACCAAGGCACAUUUGUCAUGAUUUUUUUCUGAAGUCAUGUGGAGCAUAUAGAUAAUAAGUGUUUCUUUCGUUUUCUUUUUUGGUCUUCUAUCAAUUAUCCUUUUCCUGCAGUGCAAAUACAACCAUAUCAAGCCUCAAUGAAGGCUCAGUACCAAGCUUUAGGAACUUCCUCACAAAGUUAUCAAUAAACCCUAUAAAUCAAGCACCGUCCUUUAAUAAAAAAUGUCGUAUGUCUUUCUCGUAAACAUUUAGCAAACUAUAGGUCCAUAUAUGGAGGUGGCAUCGAUGUUAAUUCCAUCUCUUGAAGGCCUAACCCAAACUUAAAUCAGAUCAAUGAUUUAUACUCAUAUACUUUGAUUCGCCCGGUUUAUUCGACCAUCUGAAGAUGAACGUAAUGUUGUGGCAGUGGUGGACGCAACAAACAACUCAAUCUCUUUCCUCGAAGAUCAUCCUAUGAAUGCAUAACCUAUUUUGGAAGGGCAAUUACCUACAUCAAUUGCUUCCAUUGAAGCAAUACAGAUGGUUAAGAUUUUAGGUGAUGGGAUUGAUUGCUCUAUUUGUUUGUCCAAUUAUGAGAUUGGCGAGGAAGCUAAGAAGAUACCUUGUAAACAUCAUUUUCAUUCGAUUUGUAUUGACAAGUGGUUGGGGAUCAAUGGAUCAUGUCCGAGGACGAACAAUGUGAGGGGAAAGAUGAAGAAAGUGAUGAAGAUGAAAUAUGUGACGAUGGUGGCAGUGAUAUGGAAGAAGAUAGAGUUGAUGUUUAUUUUUAAUGUUGCUAUUAUGGCAGAAACUACACAUCUAGAAGUAUCAAUAACAUAAAUGAAUAGACCUUCCUAUGAUAGGUUGAUAGAAGUUGGAGUCCAUAGACAUUCUGAUGUAUUCGAAACCGGCGAUGGGUUUGGAAGCUUCUGAAAAUGGAAAUGUCGAUGUACUGGAAGCUUCUGAAAAUGGCGAUGAAUUCGAAGCUAGAGAUGAAUGAAGCUAGAGAUGGUGAUGAAUCUGAAGCCAGAGAUGACAAUGUAUCAAAAGCUAGAGAUGGUGAUGUAUCCGAAGCUGGAGAUGGAGGAGAUGGCGAUGAAGCUCAAGAUAUGGUCAUUCGUAACAUUUAAUUUGGUCAUUUCCUUAUUGGUUUUUGGCGUCAUCUGCUUGACUAAAAUAUAAAAGUUAUUUGUACAAAUAUCGUGCUUAACUAAAAUAUAUGAAGUUGUUUGUACAAAAUAUUGUGCAAUUUUAAUUAGGAUGAUGACGGUAUUGAGAUGACUUAGCUCCAAGAUAUGGUCAUUGCCAACAAAUAGUUUGUUUUUUUUUAUUUGUUUGUUUUGGGCAUCUUCUAGUUUCAUAGAAAUAAACUUUUAAGAUUCCCCUAGAGCCUGAAUAGAAAGUUGACACCAAUAAGGUGAAAGUUCAUUAUAAUACCAGAGUGGGGUUGAAGAGGGUAGAAUGUGUAAAUACCUUGCCUAUACCUUUGUGGGGUAGAGAAGUUGUUUCGGAUAGACCCUUGGUUCAAAAUUUUGCAUCUAAAGAUAAAUGAAAUUUGUUUCCUUGGGACAGAUCGGCAGUUUAAAGUCCCAACACAAUGAUUUUAAAAAGCAAUUGGAUGAAGUCUGUUUAUUGAAGGAACUCAAGAAAAUAAUGUCUUUUGAAGAAAGGAAAUGAACAGGCUUACUCAAAGUUCACAACAAUUAAAAGAGAAGGUAAAGUAUUGCUUUAUUUGCACAUUUUGCAAGACGCUUCUGUAAUUACCUAAAGCAUGGAAAGUGGCAAAAGCUGCUUUAAGCAAGUAUUUAAUUGCUUCAGGCGACAGAGCCUCAGAAAAAAAAUAGAGAAUGCUGGUGGUGAGCGUUUGAAAAUCAAAAGACAGAGAUCACCAAAAUUCAAUCUGUAAUUGGAUAUGACCUUGUGCAUGUUAAAUUGUGUAUUUAAUUACACCAUUCAUGCUGCUUUUAUUUUACCUUCACCAGGACAGUGAUAAAAAAAGGCACAGACAACUGUAGCGAAGUUCAGAUAGAAAUAGGACAGAAAAUGAUUAAGAAAUUGUUAAAAUCUUUAGGGAAGGAUCGAUUCACGGGGUGUUAUAUAAAUUAGCUCGUUAAAAGGAGGCUGAAACCUUAGAGUUCAUUAAAAGAGAGAACUCCGAUCUCUUUAGCUCUUCAAAGGAGACUGAAACCAUAGAGUUCAAUGAAAGAGAGAAUCUACAUCCUGCUUUUUGUUGGAUUAAAACUUACUGAUUUAUUCAUCAAAAGCCAUAAAUAGGAAAACUAAUUCUUAUGGAAGUAGGAGACCUAAAUCCUAUUUCAAACUAAUGACUAUAAUUUAACCUAAUCCUUAUAAAACUAUGGAACAUAAAUUAGUGACUUCCAACCAUCCCUAACAGAAACUAACAAAAGGGAUUGAUGAAUCAAAGAGAUAGAAGGAAAGACUGGCUGCCGAGAAAGAAGAAUUGCUUUAUACCUUCAAAGAGAUCGAACAGAAAGCAUUUUUUGUUAUAGAGGAUUAUAAUAAGAUACAUUAAAGUUGUCUAUCACUCUUUUUGUUUUCUUUGAUGUUUUUUCAUUAUUCUCUAGCUCUUUGAUCAGCACUCUACUUCUCUGAAUGAUGCUAAAUGAGUAUGAAACUUUGAAGAAAACCGUGGAUCAAUUGUGUUCUUAAGAGGUUUCGUGCAAGUCUCUAUAAAGCUUUCUUGCUUCUAUGUGGAAUGAGUUUCUAAUUCAGUUUAAUUAGAGCUGCAUGUGGAUGCUGAUUACAACUUACAAGAUAUGAAGAAGACCUAGAAAGACUUGGAGCUCAAAGGCAAAUAUAAGAGAAAAAGCUUGAUGAUUUGCUUAUUGCUCUUUGAAAGCAUAUUGAGCAGUAAGGUGGAUUUCUUUUAUGUAUCUAUCUGUAUUAUAUACAUAAGAUUCAAAAGGACUCGGUGGAACUAGAAAAGCUUCAAACAACUUUGAGGGAUGACACACUUGGUGAGUCUUGUGACCUAAAUAGUGCUUUGGAGAUGGUUGAAAUUCUAGAAGCUCAACUAAAAUAGAUGAAUCCAAAUCUUGACUCGAUCUCUGAGUAUGCACCUGUCCACAUUUAUAUGCAGUGAAAACUUGUAGGAUUACAGUUUCUCUUGAUAUACUAAUAGUGUCUGUCCACUAUCACCAGGUAUCGGAACAAAGUAUUUGUGUACAAUGCGAGAGUCCAAGAACUUGAUUUUGUUACCCAAGAGCAUGAUGAUAUAAAGAAGCAAUAUGAUGAGUGGUGAGAGAGAAGGCAAGUCAUGUUUAUCAUUAGAAUGUCCAUUUCAAUCUUCACAUACCAUAGUGUUAUGCUUCAUUAGCUUAUAACAUUUGUAAUUAAAAUUCAGGUUGUAUGACUUUAUGGCGGGCUUUAAUUCCACAUCGUUGAAGUUCAAAGAAAUUUAUCAGUAUCAGCGCAAGGUUUAGAUUCAGGUGACUUAGAAACAGAAAACAACAUGGCUUCCAAUGGAAGUUCUUUGAACAUAUCUUAGCCAGCCAACCCCAUUUUAUGGGACAACGCUAUCAAUUCUAGAGCAUCAAGAUGAAAACUUUAUUUAAGUCUCAAGAUCUUUGGGACUUGAUAGAGACUGGAUUUACUGGUCCGGAUGAGGAGCAGCAGUCGAAGGAAAAUAGAAAGAAGGACGCAAUGGCAUUGUUCUUUCUUCAACAGGCAAUCCAUGAGACAAUGGUUUCCCGAAUUGCAGCAGUCAUCACUUCAAGGCAAGGUCGAAGAACUUUACAAACAAAAUUUCAGGGCUCAUCAAAGUUAAAAAUUGUAAAACUGCAAACUCUUUGGCAUGAAUUUGAAUUUUAAUCAUAAAAGGAAAUGAUUUUUUGUCUAGAGCAAUGACUUUUAUUAGUCAAAUGAGGUCACAUAAAGACCAAAUAACUUAUCAUAUUGUUGUUGAAGUUUUUAGGGAGUUCAAUUCCUAAGCUUGAUCAUGUUGUGGUUGCAAUUGAGGAGUCUAAAGAUUUGUCAAAAUUUCCAUUCGAUGAAUUGAUGGGUUUUUUUACAAGCCCAUGAAUCAAGGAUAAACAUGUCAGCGAAAAAGCAAGUAGAAAAAACAUUCCAAUCUAAAAGUAUGAGGCAAAGGUGCAUUUCAUGGAAAUAGUCGAGGGCGAGGGCGAGUAAUCGUUAAUGUUCUCGUUGCUGAAAACAAAAUUUUUCAGCAAGUUUCAAAUGUGGGAAUUUUUUCUUGGUAAUUGGUGCAGACAAUGACUCUGAAUUGUUGCAUUUGAGGUAUGAGCAUCUUAUUUCUAGGGGAAAAAGUUGCUAAGCCAAAAAGGUAUGGUAAUUGGAUUACCAAAAAUUUAUACUUUUGAUUUAUGCGAAGGUUGGAAUAAUGGGAAGCAAAGUAGAAAGUCGUUUCUUGUUGGAAAGGCUUGGAGAGUAACUACUUGCCUAAAAUUAAUUCAUGUGGUCCAAUGAGUACUAAAUCUUUUGGUGGAAGUCGAUAUUUUCCCUCAUCAGAGAUGAUUUUAGUCGCAUGAGUUGGGUGUAUUUCCUAAAAUACAAAUCAGAAGCCUUUGAGAAUUUUAGAAAAUCCAAAGCACUAGUGAAGAAUCAAAGUGGUCUGCGCACAAAAACUCUCUGAACGGAUAGAGCUGGUGAGUUCUUAUCUAACGAAUUUGGCCAUCUUUGUGAAGAAUCUGGAAUUCACAAGGACCUUACUGCACACUACUCACCAAAGCAAAAUGGUGUAGCUGAACGUAAGAAUCAUAUUUACUGAAGUAGUUGCAACCCAGUGUACUUACUGAACCUAUCUCCUACAAAGGUUGUGUGAUGAAUGAAACACCAUAUGAAGCUUAGAAAGGUACAAGUCCUUCAGUAAGCUACUUAAGAUUUUUUUGUUUUAUUGCUUAUGCUUUGGUUAACUCUCAAACUCGUAAAAACUAGAUAAAAAAUCACAAAAAUAUAUUUUCAUCGGUUAUUUUCUUGAAUCCAAAGCAUAUAGGUUGUAUAAUCCUCUCAAUGCAAAGUGAUAUUUAGUAGAAUUCUUGUAUUUGAUGAAAAACAAAUACAAAAAGAGAUUCUUAUACCCAUCGAAGACUCUAAAAAUGAAGGAGAAAAGUUUGCUCCUAAUUCACCUGAACAAGCGAUUGAACCAGAGACAUUUGCAACAGUUGACCAAUUCCACUAAGAAGAUCAACAAGAACCUGAAAAGAGAAUCCUAGAUAUUCUAAGCAAUCUUGUCAAUUUGCUUUAUUGUUUGAGAACCUAUGUUUUAUGAAGCAAUUGAAAAUAAGGAGUGGAAGAAUGCGAUGAAGGAAGAAGUGAUGGCAAUACAAAGAAUUGAUGGUUAAACUGGAUAUUCAAAACAAGGUAUCAUGUAGAUGGAAGUGUACAGAAAAACAAGGCCAGACUUGUCGCAAAGGUAUACUUGCAACAACAGGGUAUUGAUUUUGAGGAGACAUUUUCUUAUGUUACUGGAUUUGAAACGGAGAGGAGGUUUAUGUUGCUCAACCUUAAGGUUUCAAAAUUAGUAGCCAAGAGGAAAAUGCGUACCAUUUGAGGAAGACACUUUAUGGGUUGAAACAAACGCCACACACUUGGUAUAGCAAAAUCAAUUCCUAUUUUGUUCAAAAUAGAUUUGAAAGGAGUGAAAAUAAGCCUACUUUGUAAUUGAAGAAGUGAGUUAACAAUAAUCUGCUUGUAUGCCUCUAUGUUAAUGAUAUAAUUUAUAUAGAUUCAUCUCACUCUAUUGUAAUCUAGUAUAAUGAAUAAAUUUGAGAUGACUGAUUCGGGUUUGUUGCAUUACUUCCUUGGGCUCGAGGUGAAAUAAGGAGAAGGUAAAGUAUUCGUUCUUAAAAGAAAUAUGCAUCAGAUCUCCUUCAAAGAAUUGGGCUUGUCAAUUGUAAAUUUGUCACAACACCCAUGAAUAUAAAUGAAAAAUUGCAGUAGGAUUAAAAGUCUAGUUGGAAGUUUGAUUUAUUUGACUCAUACUCGUCCAUAUAUUUCAUACUUUAUUGAUGGUGUUUCAAGGCUUAUGGCAAUUCAUCAAAGCAUCAUUUUUUAGCCAAAUUCAUUAAAUUUCUGGACUAAUUAAGCAGGUUAUCUAUAUGUGGAUUUAUUUUGAUAGUCCUACUUUGAGAUACCAUGAAAGUCUUUAUUUUACUUCAUUGUGACCUCACUAAAGCAUAUGUGCCAUGAUUUUUUAGUGGAGUCACGUGGAGCGUAUAGGUAUAAGUUUUUCUUCCGUUUUAUUUUUUAGUCUUCUUCUAUUAAUUAUUCUUUUCCUCUUUUGUUUUUCGUUUCCUUUAUAAAGUACAAAAAUAAAUAUAUUGGGUGAUUAUUUUUAGAUUAGUACAAAUAUAGAAAAUACUUAAUGAGAGAAUCGGAAAUGCAAAUACGACAAAAUCAAGCCUCAAUGUGGGCCCAAGUCCAAGCUCUAGAAUCUUCCUUAUAAAGCUAACAAUAAACCCUAUAAAUCAAGCACAAUCCUUCAAUAAAAAAAUGGCAUCUGCCUCUCUCUUUUAACAUUUAGUACACUAUAGGUCCAGAUAUGGAGGUGGCAUCGGUGUUAAUUCCAUCUCUCGAAGGCUUAACCCAAACUGAAGUCAGAUCAAUGAUUUAUGAUCAUAUACUUCGAUUCGCCCAAUCCAUUCCACCAUCGGAAGAUGAACGGAAUAUUGUGGCAGUGGUGGACGCAACAAACAACUCAAUCUCCUUCUUCGAAGCUCAUCCUAUCAAUGCAGAACCUAUUUUGGAAGAGCAAUUACCGGCAUCAAUCGCUUCCAUUCAAGCGAUACCGUUGGUGAAGAUUUUAGGUGAAGGGAUUGAUUGCUCUAUUUGCUUGUCCAAUUUUGAACUUGGCGAGGAAGCUAAGGAGAUGCCUUGUGAACAUCAUUUUCAUUCGAUUUGUAUUGACACGUGGUUAGGCAUCAAUGGAUCGUGUCCGAUUUGUAGGUAUAAGAUGCCAGUAGACGAACAAUGUGACAAGACACAUGAAGAAGGUGAUGAGGAUGAAAUAGGUGAUGAUGGUGGCAGUGAUAUACAUGCAGAUAGAGUGAUAUUUGUUUUUCAUGUUGCCAUUAUAGUAGAAACUACAGAUCUAGCUGUAUCGAUAACAGAAAUGAAUAGAAUUUCUGAGGAUAGGUUUCUAACUAUUAGAGUGCCUAGACAUUUUGAUGUAUCCGCAGCUAGAGAUGGAGUUGGGUCUAGAGUUGGAAAUUCUGAUGUACUAGAAGCUUCUGGGAAUGGCGAUGUAUUAGUAGAUGGAAAUGGCGACGAAUCUGAAGUUAGAAAUGGCGAUGAAUUAGAAGCUAGAGAUAACGAUGUAUCUCAAGCUAGAGAUAACGAUGAAUAUGAAAAUAGAGAUGACGAUGUAUUAGAGGCUAGAGAUGGCGAAGAUGGCGAUGAAGCUCAAGAUAUGGUCAUUGAUAACAAUUAAUUUGGUUAUUUUCCUUAUUUGUUUUUGGUGUCUUCUGCUGAACUAAAAUACAAAAGUUAUUUGUACAAAAUAUUGUGCUUAAACUAAAUCUAUAAAGUUGUUUGUACAAAACAUCGUGCAAUUAGGAUGAUGACAGGAUUGAGAUAAACUAGAUCCAAGAUAUGAUCAUGACAACAAAUAGUUUGAUUUUUUAUUUGUUUGUUUUGGGUGUCUUCUAAUUUCAUAGAACUGAGGUAUUAAGAUUUCCCUAGAGCCUUAGAAAGUCGAUAUUAAUAAAGUGAAAGUUCAUGUGGUCAAACAAAUGAGCUGCAAUCAAGAUUAAAUGCUUUGAAUUGACUUCUCUUUAGCUAAGUUAUUCAUAAUUUGGUUAGCCGCUCCUUAUAAAGUGAUAUGAUCCUUGGAUGUAAUGAUAAUUGUGAUUGCAAGUUCAUAAUUUUUGUUAUCUCUUUUGACAAACAUAUAUUGAACUUUAAACUUCUACAAAUAUCAACAUUAUAUCUGGUUAAUCCGAAUAUAUCAACCUUACUAGUACAAGUAAGGAACCUUCUUUCUCUAUAUUGAUGAGUGCAUUGACAGAUUGAAUUAUCAAUUGCACUAUUUAAAAUUUAAAAAAAAAGAUGUUUAAUCUCACCCCCCCCCCCCCUUCCCCCCACAAUAUUUUCUUUGGUCUUCAUAUCUACAAGACAUGUAUUUUUCCAUAUAUUUCCAAGUUGACCAUGAUGAGAGUUCUGUGUAGUAGAAAGGUUUGUAUCCCAUUGAGAGGUUUAAUCCUCCACCACUUCUAAGAAGUGCAUUGACUCAUAACAUUUAUGCAUAGUUAACACUUGUUUUCCAAAUUUAGUCAGAUUUUCAUUAGAAGGAAAUUUCUUUUUCAACAAUCUCUAAGAGAGGAAUGAUAUAUAAAUUGAAAAUUUUCUCUUCUACAUAUGAUUUAUAAAGCUCAUUCAAGGGUAGGGAGUCGUGAUGAUUUGUCACACAUUCUUAUUAAAAAAUUACUGCCUAUAGAAUUUUCUAAACGUCUUUUCUUAUGUUCACUAAAAUGAUGACAUUAAUAGUACUUUCUGGUAGGAUGAUAAUUAAUUUCUUCAUCUUUCUACUCUUUCCUUGCAUGAAGUCACUAACGUUGAUGAUCAUAUUGGACUUUGGAUCGGAGCUGAGGUAACUAACAUAGAAUAGAUUCAUUACCUAUUCAAUCAUUCUAUCAAAAGCUAUAAUCACCCUUUUCUAACUUUUCAAUUAAUAUUGAAUUCAACCUUCAAUUUUAUAAUUUUCAACUUCCUCCAGUCAUGAGAUUGUCCAUCUCCCCUUUCCUAGACAUUAGAUGUACUAUGUUGUAGGCUUUAUACUUGUAAAAUGCAACACAGAUGAAAUGUUUAGUCCUCAUGUUCCACCAUCUUUUAGUGGCGACUGUAUCACUUAUGUCUUGUAACACUCCAUUCCCAGUACCACUUUCAGGUUUGCACUAGUUUUUUGAUGAGCUCCAGUGAUAGUAUGAUACUUACCCUUUUUAGUAGAGGAACCCUCAAAUUACCUUGCCAAGUCUUCAUUAAUGAGUUCGAUGGUUUCCUUUAAAGGAUCCAUAGUUGUCAAGGUGUACACUAGCAUAACAUGUAAAACUUGUUCAAUGAGAUUUAGUUUUACUCCAUAUGACUGAAGUUUACCAUGCCAUGAUGCCAACCGCUAAGCUUGUUAACAAUUUUACUCAUCAGUCCACCAAAGUACUCUUUAUCUUUUUUGUUCCUAAACUAAGUAGUUGAAUGGGAAACCUUUAUCCCAAAAACUUGUAGCUUGCCUCAUCUUGUUGAUUGUGUAAUUUAAAGUUUUAGUAGAUACAACAAAAAAAAUACUAUUAUUUCCCCUUAACCUUAUGAUCACAUCUUCUCACAAACAAAAUUAAUCUGUUUCAUAUCAACUUCACUAGAUCUUGUACUGCCCCUAAAGAACAUAACAAUAUCAUCAAUUUCAAAUAUAGAACCUAACGAAAGUUAGAGUAGAUCCCACAAAGAACAUGAUUUAGACUUUGUUAAAUUGCUAUUUGAUGACAUGACAAUAUUCUGAGUAAAUUUUGAUAAUGACAAAGUGAACCAGGUUCAUAAGCUUGUGCCAGUCCUCAAACAAAGAGCUGGAAAGAAGAAAGUCUUAUUUAAGGAAAAAGACAACUAGUUUUUUUUGGUAGGAUUCAACUAGGGUUUAAUCUGUGCAAAGAACCACAACUUUUGCGAAUCCAGAAAUUGAGAGAACAUUUGCAGCAAGAGCAAGUGUGGUGCUUAAAGAGCAAGACGACAGAAGAAAGAAGAGCUAGAGUUAAGUUUUCUUUCAAAGCUUAGUUUGUGUUGUUUCAACUUAGAACCCAUUGUUUAGGGACAAUUUUCCUAAGUGUCAAAGUGUGUUCGCUAGGUUUUUGUAACAAGAAGUGGGUUUGGCUUCUUGGAGAGUAUACAAUUAUAGCUAAUCAUUGAACAGUUUGAGUAAACUAUUGAGGUGAGGUGUUAGUCCAUUUGAUCAUAGAGUUUGUAAUCUAAAAUUGUUCUGUGAAAUUCGUAAAGUUUUGGUGAAAAUUCUAUGAGGUGUAGGUUAUGAUUUUUCUUCUCUUGAGCAAGGAGGUUUUCC